AUUGAACGCUGGCGGAAUGCUUUACACAUGCAAGUCGAACGGCAGCACGGACUUCGGUCUGGUGGCGAGUGGCGAACGGGUGAGUAAUGUAUCGGAACGUGCCCAGUCGUGGGGGAUAACGUAGUGAAAAUUACGCUAAUACCGCAUACGAUCUAUGGAUGAAAGCGGGGGAUCGCAAGACCUCGCGCGAUUGGAGCGGCCGAUAUCAGAUUAGGUAGUUGGUGGGGUAAAGGCCCACCAAGCCAACGAUCUGUAGCUGGUCUGAGAGGACGACCAGCCACACUGGAACUGAGACACGGUCCAGACUCCUACGGGAGGCAGCAGUGGGGAAUUUUGGACAAUGGGCGAAAGCCUGAGCCAGCCAUUCCGCGUGCAGGAUGAAGGCCCUCGGGUUGUAAACUGCUUUUGUACAGAACGAAAAGGUUUCUACUAAUACUAGGAGCUCAUGACGGUACUGUAAGAAUAAGCACCGGCUAACUACGUGCCGGCCGCCGCAGUAA
rnacentral:rRNA from 1 species